rnacentral:rRNA from 1 species
GAUGAACGCUGGCGGCGUGCCUAAUACAUGCAAGUCGAGCGAACGGACGAGAAGCUUGCUUUUCUGAUGUUAGCGGCGUACGGAGGAGUAAAACGUGGAUAACCUACCUAUAAGACUGGGAUAACUUCGGGAAACCGGAUCUAAUACCGGAUAAUAUUUUGAACCGCAUUUUUCAAGAGUAAGAUACGGUCUUGCUGUCACUUAUGGAUUGAUACGCGCUUCAUUAUCUAGUUGGUAAGGUAACGGCUUACCAAGGCAACGAUGCAUAGCCGACCUGAGAGGGUGAUCGGUCACACUGGAACUGAGACACGCUCCAGACUCCUAAGGGAGGCAGCAGUAGGGAAUCUUCCGCAAUGGGCGAAAGCCUGACGGAGCAACGCCGCGUGAGUGAUGAAGGUCUUCGGGUCGUAAACCUCUGUUAUUAGGGAAGAACAUAUGUGUAAGUAACUGUGCACAUCUUGACGGUAACUAAUCAGAAAGCCACGGCUAACUACGUG